rnacentral:rRNA from 1 species
AUUCCGGUUGAUCCUGCCGGAGGACAUUGCUAUUGGGAUUCGAUUUAGCCAUGCUAGUCGAACGAGUUCAGACUCGCGGCGAAUAGCUCAGUAACACGUGGCCAAGCUCCCCUUCAGUCAGCGAUACCCUCGGGAAACUGAGGUUAACAGCUGAUACAAAACGCCAGCUGGAAUGCGGCGUUUCAGAAAGACAUCGCUGAAGGAUGCGGCUGCGGCCGAUUAGGUAGACGGUGGGGUAACGGCCCACCGUGCCAGUAAUCGGUACGGGUGAUGAGAGUCAGAGCCCGGAGACGGAAUCUGAGACAAGAUUCCGGGCCCUACGGGGCGCAGCAGGCGCGAAACCUUUACACUGCACGGAAGUGCGAUAGGGGAAUCCCAAGUGCGAGGGCAUAUUAGCCCUCGCUUUUCUCGACUGUAAGGUGGUCGACGAAUAAGAGCUGGGCAAGACCGGUGCCAGCCGCCGCGGUAAUACCGGCAGCUCAAGUGAUGUCCCAUAUUAUUGGGCCUAAAGCGUCCGUAGCU